rnacentral:tmRNA from 1 species
GGGGAUGACAGGCUUCGACGGGAGAGGCUGGUCCCGGGUGGCGAGUCGAGAGGAGCCGACCUCGUAAAAUCAGCUCAAAAAACAAGUGCCAACACUCGCACUUACUCCGCUCUCCCCCUCGCUGCCUAACGCAGUGAGAUAGAGCAACUGGCUCUUUGAGCCUCGUCAGCCGGCAACGCUCUCUGGCCGCUCGCUGGACUGGCGCAUCAAAGUCAGAGUGCCGUUCGGAAGGGUCACGGUCUGAACGAAUAGAGGGCUUUCGGGCCUGAGUGACUGGUCGUACGUCCGUCCUGUUUAUCCCCGGCCGUACGACGACAACAGGGAUAAACUACACUCGUAGAGGCUCGAGGGUCGAUUCUUUCGGACGCGGGUUCAAUUCCCGCCAUCUCCACUC